rnacentral:rRNA from 1 species
GACGAACGCUGGCGGCGUGCCUAAUACAUGCAAGUAGAACGCACAGUUUAUACCGUAGCUUGCUACACCAUAGACUGUGAGUUGCGAACGGGUGAGUAACGCGUAGGUAACCUGCCUGGUAGCGGGUGAUAACUAUUGGAAACGAUAGCUAAUACCGCAUAAUCUUCAUUAUUGCAUGAUAAUUAAUUGAAAGGUGCAAUUGCACCACUACCAGAUGGACCUGGGUUGUAUUAGCUAGUAGGUUAGGUAACGGCUCACCUAGGCGACGAUACAUAGCCGACCUGGGAAGGUGAACGGCCACACUGGGACUGGGACACGGCCCAGACUCCUAAGGGAGGCAGCAGUAGGGAAUCUUCGGCAAUGGACGAAAGUCUGACCGGGCAACGCCGCGUGAGGGAAGGAGGUUUUCGGAUCGUAAAGCUCUGUUGUAAGGGAAGAAAGGGUGUGAGAGUGGAAAGUGCACACUGUGACGGUACCUUACCAGAAAGGGACGGCUAACUACGUG